AUGAAUGCACUGUGGUUCUUCCUCUUCCUGGUGUCAGCGCCCAGAGGUGUCCUGUCCCAGGUGCAGCUGCAGGAGUCGGGACCCAGCCUGGUGACGCCCUCACAGACCCUCUCCCUCACCUGCACUGUCUCUGGAGACUCAUUAACCAGCUAUGAUGUAGCCUGUGUCCGACAGCCUCCAGGAAAGGGGUUGGAGUGGCUUGCUGAGAUCAUUUAUAAAGGAAACACGUAUUAUAACCCAACUCUUAAGUCCCGGCUCAGCAUCACCAGGGACACGUCCAAGAGCCAAGUCUAUUUAUCACUGAGCAGCCUGACAACUGAAGACACAGCCAUGUAUUACUGGGCGAGGCGCACAGGACCCAACGGGUACAGCGCUGAGGCCUGGGGCAGGGGCAGAUGGGGGCGGGGAGGGAAUUCUUGUUAG